GGCAGGAUGGCCGAGUGGUCUAAGGCGCUACGUUCAGGUCGCAGUCUCCUCUGGAGGCGCGGGUUCGAAUCCCGCUCCUGUCA
rfam:Ciona savignyi cont_5932, whole genome shotgun sequence.